rnacentral:rRNA from 1 species
AGAGUUUGAUCAUGGCUCAGAAUGAACGCUGGCGGCAGGCUUAACACAUGCAAGUCGAACGGGUGCUUCCGAUACCACUAGUGACGGGUGGGUGCCUAACGCGAACCCACCUCUUGGUUCACUGCGGGAUAGGCCAACUUGUGGUAGAUUAAUAUCACCCCUUACAGGGAAAGAUUUUUCGGCAACUGAUCAACACGCGUCUGAUUAGGAUGGGGUUGCGGUAAUGGCCUACCUUGGCGACGAUACGGCCCUGGUCUGAGAGGAUGAUCAGGGGACUUGAGACUGUGAUCCCCCCCCUGUCCUACAGAUACGGGCCAUACUCCAAUAUUGAACAAUGGGGGCAACCCUGAUCCAAUGUGCCACGUGCUGACCCAAGGCCCCGGGUUGUAAAGCUCUUUUGUCUGGGUUGAUAAUGACUUUUCUCCGGAAUAAACCCCCCUUAACUUCACGCUGACGGUACCUGAAUAAUAAAGGCCGCUAGCGUUGCUGCCAAUCACUGGGCGUAUACGGAGGGUGCGCGCGUUUUCCGGAUUUAUGUGAUUUCCUGGAUGUCUACUCGGAACUGCCUUUGAUACUGGAAAUCUUGAGCUCAACUGAGGUGCUGCCAUGUGCGCUGGUAGAGGUGAGUUCAGAAGAUGUUCGCAAGAUGGAUGCUGUAACGGCGAAAUCACUGGCUCAGCAUCUGAAACCCAGAUUGCAAAGCGUGGUGACUAACUGAUCUGAUACCCUAGGUACGCCACGCGUGUAGAGAUGAAAUGCAUUACGUUCGCUGGGUAUUCCACCCCCGUAAACGCAUGGUAUACCUCCUUUAGGCAGUACAAUGUCGGUGGCUUAGCGAAAGCGUUAAGUAUCCCACCUGGGGAGUACGCCCGCAAGGGUGAAACUCAAAGGAAUUGACGG